UAACUGAGGCACAGAGAAGUUAAAUGACUUGCCCAAGAUCGCACGGCGGACAGGCGUCUGAGACGGGAUCAGACGUCGGGUCCUUCUGACUCCCAGGCCCGUACUCUAUCCCCUAGAAGCCAUGCCGCUUCUAGCGGGAGUGGUACGGGAGAGGUGUGAUCGGACCAGAGUGUUCAAAUCGCCACUACCUGAGGAUCAGCGCAGACUUCUGCCCGCCCUCCGGCCGUCCCACGUUUGGGGCUGGAAACAUGAGAGGAAUCACAUUUUUUCCCAAGUCUCCCUUGCCACGCAGCUGCUACGGUCUUUUCGAAAAGCCAGAACAGAAAUUCGACAGUGUCUACAGCGUCUCUAAUUAAGGGCAGAAGAAUUUCAUUCCUGUGGAAAAGCUGAGUAGAGAGGACCUCUUGGAAGUCAUCCUGGUGUAGGUGCUCUUAACUCACAAGUCUUUGCAGUCUUCAAUGCAACCUUCAGCGCAGUCCUCAGUGCGGCGUCGGCGACCCCUCCGAUUAAGGCCCGACCGCAGCCUUCAGUGCGACCCUAAAUGCAACCCACCGAAGAUCAAAUAACCUGAACAAUCCACCUCUCUUCUGACCUUGCCUUGACCCAUAACCUCAGGUUCAGAGACAGUUCCUGGGGGAACAGCUGGCCAUUUUGCUGACUCCUAUUGGUGCACCCCUGGGCCAGGAUCCACGGCCUUUUGGGAGCUCUGGGCUUUCGAACUGCACUUUCGAGAGAGCGGGUUGUGGCCAGGGCAGUUUCCUGAUUCCAAGGAGAGGACACGGAAAAAGGCUCCCGAGGUUUAACACUUCUCGGAUGAUCUCACAGAAUAGCAUUUAAGGAAAUUGAAUAUAAAUGAAAUAGACUUUGAAAGAUUAGGUUUCCCAUGUAUCGUUCGGGGGCGUGAAAAAAGCAUAAUUGGAAAAAUAUGCCGUGGAUCUCAACGGACCCCAAAGAUUCGAAAAACAAAAAGGAUUGGAAACAAGACCCCAGUUGGGUAUCUUCAAGAACGAUCCCGUGGGUAUUUUGCAGUUCUUAAAAAAAAAAAAAUACAUCAUCGCCAGCAGAUUUCCCGCUAUGAGAUUGCAAAGAUUUGCAGAGGAUCAUUUAAUCCACGUUCUAGCGGGGCGAUUAAUCAGUGAGAACAUUUUCCCCGAGAGUCGAAAGAUCCCUCUCAAAAGGGAAUUGGAGUGAGAUAUACUUGCCUUGGUGCAUUUCAGAAAUGAAAUAUCUCAUCUCUCGACUCCUCACGCCGUGCCCGUGAAAAUAGGCCCCCGCCUGAUUUCUUUCUUCUGUGACGUGCAUUGGAUUCUCAUUCCCCCCCUCCGUGGUCCAGGGACCCCUGUCUCCCCAAGACUGUGAGUGAGAUGCUACCUCCGCAUUCCUCGGGAGCUCUCUACAUCCACAGGCACCCAAGACCUUUGUCAUUACCGACCUGGACCAUUCCGGCCGGACGAAACCUCCCGCUAUCCUGCAGCCUCGCCUCUGCUGCUCUCCGUUGCUGCCGGCCCCAAGGAAGCUCGAGCCACACUAAGCAGGAACACCAGGCCGGAGGAUUCCGGAUAGGCGGUGGCCGUGGCGACGACGGCUCACAAUUGUCAGCAGCCCUGCUCUGGAACCGGGAAUGACAUUUUGCCCACUGUGGUCUCCUCAGCCAGCGUGGGGUCUUGAUGGAUCCAUGACCCCUGGACCGUUUUCCCCACCCACCUCCGCGCUACGGACCAGCUCUGCUCUGGUGUUCUCAGUGAGUCUGGGAGAAAGACGAACUAGCCUGUUAGCUCCUUAGUGUCUCAUCACCAACAAACUCACUUUCGCAAUCUGAGGCCCAGCAGUUCGAGUUCCACGUAUACGGGGCUGUUAAAGACGGCGCCCUGAGCGGUGACUCAUUCCAUCUGAAGGUGAAUCAGCUGGUUUCACAGGGCUGAGAUGAAUGAAAUGUGUGAAUGGUUCGAAACCGAAAGAACCGUUAUCUCGGUCCAGAAAAAUCCCAACGUAACCUCGGGGGAACAACUGGCGUUGCUGCCGGCACCCUUAGCAGGAGUCUACACGUUUACACGUUCGCAUCGACCGAUACGUCGACCACUUAAAUGGAUGGGUCAUUUGGGCUGAGUUUCAGUUCACAGAAGAGGUUAUACCUUUUUGCAUGCCACA